rnacentral:rRNA from 1 species
CAUGCAAGUCGAGGGGCAGCAUAAUGGAUAGCAAUAUCUAUGGUGGCGACCGGCGCACGGGUGCGUAACGCGUAUGCAACCUACCUUUAACAGGGGGAUAACACUGAGAAAUUGGUACUAAUACCCCAUAAUAUCAUAGAAGGCAUCUUUUAUGGUUGAAAAUUCCGAUGGUUAGAGAUGGGCAUGCGUUGUAUUAGCUAGUUGGUGGGGUAACGGCUCACCAAGGCGACGAUACAUAGGGGGACUGAGAGGUUAACCCCCCACACUGGUACUGAGACACGGACCAGACUCCUACGGGAGGCAGCAGUGAGGAAUAUUGGUCAAUGGACGCAAGUCUGAACCAGCCAUGCCGCGUGCAGGAUGACGGCUCUAUGAGUUGUAAACUGCUUUUGUACGAGGGUAAACGCAGAUACGUGUAUCUGUCUGAAAGUAUCGUACGAAUAAGGAUCGGCUAACUCCGUGCCAGCAGCCGCGGUAAUACGGAGGAUUCAAGCGUUAUCCGGAUUUAUUGGGUUUAAAGGGUGCGUAGGCGGUUUGAUAAGUUAGAGGUGAAAUUUCGGGGCUCAACCCUGAACGUGCCUCUAAUACUGUUGAGCUAGAGAGUAGUUGCGGUAGGCGGAAUGUAUGGUGUAGCGGUGAAAUGCUUAGAGAUCAUACAGAACACCGAUUGCGAAGGCAGCUUACCAAACUAUAUCUGACGUUGAGGCACGAAAGCGUGGGGG